GACGAACGCUGGCGGCGUGCCUAAUACAUGCAAGUCGAACGCACUCUCGUUUAGAUUGAAGGAGCUUGCUCCUGAUUGAUAAACAUUUGAGUGAGUGGCGGACGGGUGAGUAACACGUGGGUAACCUGCCCUAAAGUGGGGGAUAACAUUUGGAAACAGAUGCUAAUACCGCAUAAAACCUAACACCGCAUGGUGUAGGGUGGAAAGAUGGUUUCGGCUAUCACUUUAGGAUGGACCCGCGGUGCAUUAGUUAGUUGGUGAGGUAAAGGCUCACCAAGACCGUGAUGCAUAGCCGACCUGAGAGGGUAAUCGGCCACACUGGGACUGAGACACGGCCCAGACUCCUACGGGAGGCAGCAGUAGGGAAUCUUCCACAAUGGACGAAAGUCUGAUGGAGCAACGCCGCGUGAGUGAAGAAGGUUUUCGGAUCGUAAAACUCUGUUGUUGGAGAAGAAUGUAUCUGAUAGUAACUGAUCAGGUAGUGACGGUAUCCAA
rnacentral:rRNA from 1 species